CGCAAGAGGGCAAACCCAGUGCUUGCACUGGGGGUUGUAGGACUGCAAUGUGCAAGAGCUGAGUUUAGCAGAACAUUCUGGAAAGUAUAGCCAUAGAGGGUGAUAGUCCCGUAUGCGAAAAACAAAGCUUAGCUAGCAGUAUCCUGAGUAGGGCGGGACACGAGGAAUCCUGUCUGAAUCCGGGUCGACCACGAUCCAACCCUAAAUACUAAUACCAGAUCGAUAGUGCACAAGUACCGUGAGGGAAAGGUGAAAAGAACUGAGGUGAUCAGAGUGAAAUAGAACCUGAAACCAUUUGCUUACAAUCAUUCAGAGCACUAUGUAGCAAUACAGUGUGAUGGACUGCCUUUUGCAUAAUGAGCCUGCGAGUUGUGGUGUCUGGCAAGGUUAAGCAAACGCGAAGCCGUAGCGAAAGCGAGUCUGAAUAGGGCGCUUAGUCAGAUGCUGCAGACCCGAAACGAAGUGAUCUAUCCAUGAGCAAGUUGAAGCUAGUGUAAGAACUAGUGGAGGACUGAACCCAUAGGCGUUGAAAAGCCCCGGGAUGACUUGUGGAUAGGGGUGAAAGGCCAAUCAAACUUCGUGAUAGCUGGUUCUCUCCGAAAUAUAUUUAGGUAUAGCGUUGUGUCGUAAUAUAAGGGGGUAGAGCACUGAAUGGGCUAGGGCAUACACCAAUGUACCAAACCCUAUCAAACUCCGAAUACCUUAUAUGUAAUCACAGCAGUCAGGCGGCGAGUGAUAAAAUCCGUCGUCAAGAGGGAAACAACCCAGACUACCAGCUAAGGUCCCUAAAUCUUACUUAAGUGGAAAACGAUGUGAAGUUACUUAAACAACCAGGAGGUUGGCUUAGAAGCAGCCAUCCUUUAAAGAAAGCGUAAUAGCUCACUGGUCUAGUGAUUUUGCGCGGAAAAUAUAACGGGGCUAAAGUAAGUACCGAAGCUGUAGACUUGCGCACAACUUAGAUUAUUUAAGUUUAGAAUAUGAGAAACUAAGUUAUAUUUUUACUGAUUUUUAUAGAGUAAAGAUAGAAAUAAAACUUAGUAAAAUCAGUAAAAAUAUUCUUAGGCUAAAGUUAAGUAGUUUAAGUUGUGUGCAAGUGGUAGGAGAGCGUUCUAUUUGCGUCGAAGGUAUACCGGUAAGGAGUGCUGGAGCGAAUAGAAGUGAGCAUGCAGGCAUGAGUAGCGAUAAUUAAUGUGAGAAUCAUUAACGCCGUAAACCCAAGGUUUCCUACGCGAUGCUCGUCAUCGUAGGGUUAGUCGGGUCCUAAGUCGAGUCCGAAAGGGGUAGACGAUGGCAAAUUGGUUAAUAUUCCAAUACCAACAUUAGUGUGCGAUGGAAGGACGCUUAGGGCUAAGGGGGCUAGCGGAUGGAAGUGCUAGUCUAAGGUCGUAGGAGGUUAUACAGGCAAAUCCGUAUAACAAUACUCCGAGAACUGAAAGGCUUUUUGAAGUCUUCGGAUGGAUAGAAGAACCCCUGAUGCCGUCGAGCCAAGAAAAGUUUCUAAGUUUAGCUAAUGUUGCCCGUACCGUAAACCGACACAGGUGGGUGGGAUGAGUAUUCUAAGGCGCGUGGAAGAACUCUCUUUAAGGAACUCUGCAAAAUAGCACCGUAUCUUCGGUAUAAGGUGUGGUUAGCUUCGUACUAGGAUUU
rnacentral:rRNA from 1 species